AUACGUAGGGAGCAAGCGUUAUCCGGAUUUACUGGGUGUAAAGGGCGUGUAGGCGGGACUACAAGUCAGAUGUGAAAAUUAUGGGCUCAACCCAUAACCUGCAUUUGAAACUGUAGUUCUUGAGUGCUGGAGAGGCAAAUGGAACUCCUAGUGUAGCGGUGAAAUGCGUAGAUAUUAGGAAGAACACCAGUGGCGAAGGCGAUUUGCUGGACAGUAACUGACGCUGAUGCGCGAAAGUGUGGGGAGCAAACAGGAUUAGAUACCCUGGUAGUCCACACCGUAAACGAUGGAUACUAGGUGUGGGGGGUCUGACCCCCUCCGUGCCGGAGUUAACACAUUAAGUAUCCCACCUGGGGAGUACGAUCGCAAGGUUGAA
rnacentral:rRNA from 1 species